rnacentral:tRNA from 1 species
GCGGAAGUGGCGGAAUUGGCAGACGCGCACGCUUGAGGGGCGUGUGGUUAUCCGUGCGGGUUCAAGUCCCGCCUUCCGCACCA